UACGAAGGGUGCAAGCGUUACUCGGAAUUACUGGGCGUAAAGCGUGCGUAGGUGGUUCGUUAAGUCUGAUGUGAAAGCCCUGGGCUCAACCUGGGAAUGGCAUUGGAAACUGGCGAUCUAGAGUGCGGUAGAGGGCAGUGGAAUUCCCGGUGUAGCAGUGAAAUGCGUAGAGAUCGGGAGGAACAUCUGUGGCGAAGGCGACUGCCUGGACCAGCACUGACACUGAGGCACGAAAGCGUGGGGAGCAAACAGG
rnacentral:rRNA from 1 species